UCAGAGCGAACGCUGGCGGCAGGCUUAACACAUGCAAGUCGAACGGGCGUAGCAAUACGUCAGUGGCAGACGGGUGAGUAACGCGUGGGAACGUACCUUUUGGUUCGGAACAACUGAGGGAAACUUCAGCUAAUACCGGAUAAGCCCUUACGGGGAAAGAUUUAUCGCCGAAAGAUCGGCCCGCGUCUGAUUAGCUAGUUGGUGAGGUAAUGGCUCACCAAGGCGACGAUCAGUAGCUGGUCUGAGAGGAUGAUCAGCCACAUUGGGACUGAGACACGGCCCAAACUCCUACGGGAGGCAGCAGUGGGGAAUAUUGGACAAUGGGGGAAACCCUGAUCCAGCCAUGCCGCGUGGGUGAUGAAGGCCCUAGGGUUGUAAAGCUCUUUUGUGCGGGAAGAUAAUGACGGUACCGCAAGAAUAAGCCCCGGCUAACUUCGUGCCAGCAGCCGCGGUAAUACGAAGGGGGCUAGCGUUGCUCGGAAUCACUGGGCGUAAAGGGUGCGUAGGCGGGUCUUUAAGUCAGGGGUGAAAUCCUGGAGCUCAACUCCAGAACUGCCUUUGAUACUGAGGAUCUUGAGUUCGGGAGAGGUGAGUGGAACUGCGAGUGUAGAGGUGAAAUUCGUAGAUAUUCGCAAGAACACCAGUGGCGAAGGCGGCUCA
rnacentral:rRNA from 1 species